UCACCCACUCGUUCAACAAUGAAACUGCGCUAUACCUAAAAUAGAAGGAAGGUUCUACAGAUAUAAAAAUUAAGGUGAAAUGAAAUCCUCAGCAUCAUAUGAAACCUCAAUUCCCUUAUCGAGAAUUCUGAAAGGAGAGAAUCUGAGAAAACUGGAACAGUCUCGAAUCUUGAAAUAGGCCACGAAAGAUGGAAUUCUCAUUGUGACACCUGUUUAGUCUAAUAGAGGGUGAGAAGGAGAUUAAUAGAGCAUUAGACUCGAUUCCAAGAGGAAUUAUGUUACAAAGGAAGCUCUCUGAAUUUAAGCAUUGAAAGAUGGCAGAAGCCCUAAAUUAGCCGGCUGCUCGUACAGGAGCCCAAUGUACUAUAAGCACCGCACAGUUAUCUGCAGCGACUGUUCAGGGC